UUUUAUGGAGAGUUUGAUCCUGGCUCAGGAUGAACGCUGGCGGCGUGCCUAAUACAUGCAAGUCGAGCGAACGGACGAGAAGCUUGCUUCUCUGAUGUUAGCGGCGGACGGGUGAGUAACACGUGGAUAACCUACCUAUAAGACUGGGAUAACUUCGGGAAACCGGAGCUAAUACCGGAUAAUAUUUUGAACCGCAUGGUUCAAAAGUAAAAGACGGUCUUGCUGUCACUUAUAGAUGGAUCCGCGCUGCAUUAGCUAGUUGGUAAGGUAACGGCUUACCAAGGCAACGAUGCAUAGCCGACCUGAGAGGGUGAUCGGCCACACUGGAACUGAGACACGGUCCAGACUCCUACGGGAGGCAGCAGUAGGGAAUCUUCCGCAAUGGGCGAAAGCCUGACGGAGCAACGCCGCGUGAGUGAUGAAGGUCUUCGGAUCGUAAAACUCUGUUAUUAGGGAAGAACAUAUGUGUAAGUAACUGUGCACAUCUUGACGGUACCUAAUCAGAAAGCCACGGCUAACUACGUGCCAGCAGCCGCGGUAAUACGUAGGUGGCAAGCGUUAUCCGGAAUUAUUGGGCGUAAAGCGCGCGUAGGCGGUUUUUUAAGUCUGAUGUGAAAGCCCACGGCUCAACCGUGGAGGGUCAUUGGAAACUGGAAAACUUGAGUGCAGAAGAGGAAAGUGGAAUUCCAUGUGUAGCGGUGAAAUGCGCAGAGAUAUGGAGGAACACCAGUGGCGAAGGCGACUUUCUGGUCUGUAACUGACGCUGAUGUGCGAAAGCGUGGGGAUCAAACAGGAUUAGAUACCCUGGUAGUCCACGCCGUAAACGAUGAGUGCUAAGUGUUAGGGGGUUUCCGCCCCUUAGUGCUGCAGCUAACGCAUUAAGCACUCCGCCUGGGGAGUACGACCGCAAGGUUGAAACUCAAAGGAAUUGACGGGGACCCGCACAAGCGGUGGAGCAUGUGGUUUAAUUCGAAGCAACGCGAAGAACCUUACCAAAUCUUGACAUCCUUUGACAACUCUAGAGAUAGAGCCUUCCUCUUCGGGGGACAAAGUGACAGGUGGUGCAUGGUUGUCGUCAGCUCGUGUCGUGAGAUGUUGGGUUAAGUCCCGCAACGAGCGCAACCCUUAAGCUUAGUUGCCAUCAUUAAGUUGGGCACUCUAAGUUGACUGCCGGUGACAAACCGGAGGAAGGUGGGGAUGACGUCAAAUCAUCAUGCCCCUUAUGAUUUGGGCUACACACGUGCUACAAUGGACAAUACAAAGGGCAGCGAAACCGCGAGGUCAAGCAAAUCCCAUAAAGUUGUUCUCAGUUCGGAUUGUAGUCUGCAACUCGACUACAUGAAGCUGGAAUCGCUAGUAAUCGUAGAUCAGCAUGCUACGGUGAAUACGUUCCCGGGUCUUGUACACACCGCCCGUCACACCACGAGAGUUUGUAACACCCGAAGCCGGUGGAGUAACCUUUUAGGAGCUAGCCGUCGAAGGUGGGACAAAUGAUUGGGGUGAAGUCGUAACAAGGUAGCCGUAUCGGAAGGUGCGGCUGGAUCACCUCCUUUCUAA
rnacentral:rRNA from 1 species